rnacentral:rRNA from 1 species
AACGAACGCUGGCGGCGUGCCUAAUACAUGCAAGUCGAACGGGUUUUGCCUUCGGGUAAAGCAAGGGGCGCACGGGUGGGGAACACGUGGAUAAUCCGCCUUUUUGUGGGGAAUAACAAUCCGAAAGGAUUGCUAAUACCGCAUAAAACCACAGGGCCUGCGGGCCAAGGGGUUAAAGGUGGCCUCUAUUUAUAAGCUAUCGCAAAAAGAUGCGUGCGCGUCCCAUUAGCUAGUUGGCAGGGUAACGGCCUACCAAGGCAACGGUGGGUAACUGGUCUGAGAGGAUGAUCAGUCACACUGGAACUGAGACACGGUCCAGACUCCUACGGGAGGCAGCAGUAGGGAAUAUUGCACAAUGGGCGAAAGCCUGAUGCAGCAACGCCGCGUGAGUGAUGAAGGUUUUCGGAUCGUAAAGCUCUGUCGUAAGGGAAAAAACGGAUGUAGGCUAAUACCCUUAUCCUUGAUUGUACCUUACAAGAAAGCACCGGCUAAC